UUAAGCGACUAAGCGUACACGGUGGAUGCCCUGGCAGUCAGAGGCGAUGAAGGACGUGCUAAUCUGCGAUAAGCGUCGGUAAGGUGAUAUGAACCGUUAUAACCGGCGAUUUCCGAAUGGGGAAACCCAGUGUGAUUCGUCACACUAUCAUUAACUGAAUCCAUAGGUUAAUGAGGCGAACCGGGGGAACUGAAACAUCUAAGUACCCCGAGGAAAAGAAAUCAACCGAGAUUCCCCCAGUAGCGGCGAGCGAACGGGGAGGAGCCCAGAGCCUGAAUCAGUGUGUGUGUUAGUGGAAGCGUCUGGAAAGGCGCGCGAUACAGGGUGACAGCCCCGUACACAAAAAUNCACAUAUUGUGAGCUCGAUGAGUAGGGCGGGACACGUGGUAUCCUGUCUGAAUAUGGGGGGACCAUCCUCCAAGGCUAAAUACUCCUGACUGACCGAUAGUGAACCAGUACCGUGAGGGAAAGGCGAAAAGAACCCCGGCGAGGGGAGUGAAAAAGAACCUGAAACCGUGUACGUACAAGCAGUGGGAGCACGCUUAGGCGUGUGACUGCGUACCUUUUGUAUAAUGGGUCAGCGACUUAUAUUCUGUAGCAAGGUUAACCGAAUAGGGGAGCCGAAGGGAAACCGAGUCUUAACUGGGCGUUAAGUUGCAGGGUAUAGACCCGAAACCCGGUGAUCUAGCCAUGGGCAGGUUGAAGGUUGGGUAACACUAACUGGAGGACCGAACCGACUAAUGUUGAAAAAUUAGCGGAUGACUUGUGGCUGGGGGUGAAAGGCCAAUCAAACCGGGAGAUAGCUGGUUCUCCCCGAAAGCUAUUUAGGUAGCGCCUCGUGAAUUCAUCUCCGGGGGUAGAGCACUGUUUCGGCAAGGGGGUCAUCCCGACUUACCAACCCGAUGCAAACUGCGAAUACCGGAGAAUGUUAUCACGGGAGACACACGGCGGGUGCUAACGUCCGUCGUGAAGAGGGAAACAACCCAGACCGCCAGCUAAGGUCCCAAAGUCAUGGUUAAGUGGGAAACGAUGUGGGAAGGCCCAGACAGCCAGGAUGUUGGCUUAGAAGCAGCCAUCAUUUAAAGAAAGCGUAAUAGCUCACUGGUCGAGUCGGCCUGCGCGGAAGAUGUAACGGGGCUAAACCAUGCACCGAAGCUGCGGCAGCGACGCUUAUGCGUUGUUGGGUAGGGGAGCGUUCUGUAAGCCUGCGAAGGUGUGCUGUGAGGCAUGCUGGAGGUAUCAGAAGUGCGAAUGCUGACAUAAGUAACGAUAAAGCGGGUGAAAAGCCCGCUCGCCGGAAGACCAAGGGUUCCUGUCCAACGUUAAUCGGGGCAGGGUGAGUCGACCCCUAAGGCGAGGCCGAAAGGCGUAGUCGAUGGGAAACAGGUUAAUAUUCCUGUACUUGGUGUUACUGCGAAGGGGGGACGGAGAAGGCUAUGUUGGCCGGGCGACGGUUGUCCCGGUUUAAGCGUGUAGGCUGGUUUUCCAGGCAAAUCCGGAAAAUCAAGGCUGAGGCGUGAUGACGAGGCACUACGGUGCUGAAGCAACAAAUGCCCUGCUUCCAGGAAAAGCCUCUAAGCAUCAGGUAACAUCAAAUCGUACCCCAAACCGACACAGGUGGUCAGGUAGAGAAUACCAAGGCGCUUGAGAGAACUCGGGUGAAGGAACUAGGCAAAAUGGUGCCGUAACUUCGGGAGAAGGCACGCUGAUAUGUAGGUGAAGUCCCUUGCGGAUGGAGCUGAAAUCAGUCGAAGAUACCAGCUGGCUGCAACUGUUUAUUAAAAACACAGCACUGUGCAAACACGAAAGUGGACGUAUACGGUGUGACGCCUGCCCGGUGCCGGAAGGUUAAUUGAUGGGGUCAGCGCAAGCGAAGCUCUUGAUCGAAGCCCCGGUAAACGGCGGCCGUAACUAUAACGGUCCUAAGGUAGCGAAAUUCCUUGUCGGGUAAGUUCCGACCUGCACGAAUGGCGUAAUGAUGGCCAGGCUGUCUCCACCCGAGACUCAGUGAAAUUGAACUCGCUGUGAAGAUGCAGUGUACCCGCGGCAAGACGGAAAGACCCCGUGAACCUUUACUAUAGCUUGACACUGAACAUUGAGCCUUGAUGUGUAGGAUAGGUGGGAGGCUUUGAAGUGUGGACGCCAGUCUGCAUGGAGCCGGCCUUGAAAUACCACCCUUUAAUGUUUGAUGUUCUAACGUGGACCCGUGAUCCGGGUUGCGGACAGUGUCUGGUGGGUAGUUUGACUGGGGCGGUCUCCUCCUAAAGAGUAACGGAGGAGCACGAAGGUUGGCUAAUCCUGGUCGGACAUCAGGAGGUUAGUGCAAUGGCAUAAGCCAGCUUGACUGCGAGCGUGACGGCGCGAGCAGGUGCGAAAGCAGGUCAUAGUGAUCCGGUGGUUCUGAAUGGAAGGGCCAUCGCUCAACGGAUAAAAGGUACUCCGGGGAUAACAGGCUGAUACCGCCCAAGAGUUCAUAUCGACGGCGGUGUUUGGCACCUCGAUGUCGGCUCAUCACAUCCUGGGGCUGAAGUAGGUCCCAAGGGUAUGGCUGUUCGCCAUUUAAAGUGGUACGCGAGCUGGGUUUAGAACGUCGUGAGACAGUUCGGUCCCUAUCUGCCGUGGGCGCUGGAGAACUGAGGGGGGCUGCUCCUAGUACGAGAGGACCGGAGUGGACGCAUCACUGGUGUUCGGGUUGUCAUGCCAAUGGCACUGCCCGGUAGCUAAAUGCGGAAGAGAUAAGUGCUGAAAGCAUCUAAGCACGAAACUUGCCCCGAGAUGAGUUCUCCCUGACCCUUUAAGGGUCCUGAAGGAACGUUGAAGACGACGACGUUGAUAGGCCGGGUGUGUAAGCGCAGCGAUGCGUUGAGCUAACCGGUACUAAUGAACCGUGAGGCUUAACCUU
rnacentral:rRNA from 1 species